rnacentral:rRNA from 1 species
AUUGAACGCUGGCGGCAUGCUUUACACAUGCAAGUCGAACGGUAACAGCACUUCGGUGGCUGACGAGUGGCGACCGGGUGCGUAAUACAUCGGAACGUGCCUAGUAGUGGGGGAUAACUACUCGAAAGAGUAGCUAAUACCGCAUGAGAUCUAAGGAUGAAAGCAGGGGACCUUCGGGCCUUGCGCUACUAGAGCGGCUGAUGGCAGAUUAGGUAGUUGGUGGGAUAAAAGCUUACCAAGCCGACGAUCUGUAGCUGGUCUGAGAGGACGACCAGCCACACUGGGACUGAGACACGGCCCAGACUCCUACGGGAGGCAGCAGUGGGGAAUUUUGGACAAUGGGCGCAAGCCUGAUCCAGCAAUGCCGCGUGCAGGAUGAAGGCCUUCGGGUUGUAAACUGCUUUUGUACGGAACGAAAAGCCCUCUUCUAAUACAGGGGGGUCAUGACGGUACCGUAAGAAUAAGCACCGGCUAACUACGUG